rnacentral:rRNA from 1 species
AAUGAACGUUGGCGGCGUGGAUUAGGCAUGCAAGUCGCGCGAGAAGUCAUUUAGCUUGCUAAAAGACGGACAGCGGCGGAAGGGAGAGUAACGCGUGGUUAUGUACCCUCGAGACCGGGAUAGUGUCGGGAAACUGGCAGUAAUACCGGAUAACAUCUUCGGAUCAAAUGGUGUGAUUCCGCUCGAGGAUCGGACCGCGUACUAUUAGCUAGUUGGAGGGGUAAUGGCCCACCGAGGCUUAGAUGGUUACCGGGUGUGAGAGCAUGGCCCGGCUCACUGGGACUGAGACACUGCCCAGACAUCUACGGAUGGCUGCAGUCGAGAAUCUUCGGCAAUGGACGAAAGUCUGACCGAGCGACGCCGCGUGCGGGAUGAAGGCCUUCGGGUUGUAAACCGCUGUCAGUUAGGAGGAAAUCCAUGAGGGUUCUCUCUCAUGGUUGACCGAUUUUCAGAGGAAGGACGGGCUAAGUUCGUGCCAGCCGCCGCCGUAAAAC